AAAGGCGUUUCAAAGAAGUUGGCAGUACAUCCAACCGGCCUCACAAUCACAGACCAUGAGUAACCACACCAGCCCAGGACCUCCACAUCCAGCAUCUUCACCUUUAACCCCUUAAGAUUGUCUGAGACCAGCCACCCGGACAGCUACUGCAACAAUCGGUUUGCAUAACUGAAGAAUGUCUGCAUAAACUGUCAGAAACCGUC